GCCCCACCUAGCCUCACCUAGCCCCAACCCACCUAGCCCCACCCUGCCUAGCCUCACCUAGCCCCACCCCGCCUAGCCUCACCCCGCCUAGCCUCACCUAGCCCCAACCCACCUAGCCCCACCCUGCCUAGCCCCGCCUAGCCUCACCUAGCACCACCCCGCCUAGCCCCUCCAGGCUCAGUCUGCUCUGCACCACAGGCCCCAUCUGUACACUAUGCAACUCUUUGGAUACGUCCCAAAUAGCACCCUUUCCCUAUGUAGUGCACUACUUCUGACCAGCACUACAUAGGGAGUAGGGAGCCAUUCGGAAUAGAACCAAUGUUCACAAUACACAAGAAGAACUUUAUUUAUUGAACAUAGUUUUCUAACUUUAACUCGACUACCUUUCUGUUCAUAUGGAACGAGAAACAAAAUCAUGGAUUUGAGGAUAUUUAAAAAAUAUUUAAGGUUUUAUUUUAUCACUGUUGGUUGCUCACAACUACUACAAUAUUUCUCAUAACGUUUAGAACAAUAAUACAAGUGUAUUUAUUCUGAAAGGAGAUGUGAAGAGGGCUUGCUUUGUGACGAUACCUCAGUGUGUUAAAACUCUUCUCAGUUUACAUUGCAUACAAUACUUCAUCUCCUGGCCUCUUGUGUCCCAAAUGGCACCCUAUUCCUUAUAUAGUGCACUACUUUCACCGGAGCCUUAUCAGCCUUGGUCAAAAGUAGUGCACAACAUAGAGAAUAGGGUGCCAUUUGGGACGCACAACCGGUCUCACAUCAUCUCUGAACCCUCCAUGUAGAAUAACAGCCAUGUUCUCUCUUUAAGGCAGACUAAGGGCUGAGAGAGAGGUGGUAAUAUCACACCACAUCUGUGAUAUAAAGGUCUUUGUUGCUGUUUCUUGGAUGAGACCAUAACGUAGGCUAAUACAAUUCCCCCCCCCCUUGUUACGCCGCUUUCUGUGUUACGAGAUUGUGAAUGGUUUCAUUAAAGGCUGACUCAGCGAGAUGUCGUUGCACAAAGUUAACACCACCCUGCCUAGCCCCACCCUGCCUAGCCCCACCCUGCCUAGCCCCACCUAGUUAACACGUAGUGGAUCCAUUUCCUCCACAACUAGGGAGCACGAGGUUUAACUACUCCGCUGUUUUGGUCCUGUAGUUACCACAUUGUAGCAGCGUGAAGCGCGAGGUUAAACUACUCCGCUGUUUUGGUCCUGUAGCUACCACGUUGUAGAAGCGUGAGGUUAAACUACUCCGCUGUUUUGGUCCUGUAGUUACCACGUUGUAGAAGCGUGAGGUUAAACUACUCUGCUGUUUUGGUCCUGUAGCUACCACGUUGUAGAAGCGUGAGGUUAAACUACUCCGCUGUUUUGGUCCUGUAGCUACCACGUUGUAGAAGCGUGAGGUUAAACUACUCCGCUGUUUUGGUCCUGUAGCUACCACGUUGUAGAAGCGUGAGGUUAAACUACUCCGCUGUUUUGGUCCUGUAGCUACCACGUUGUAGAAGCGUGAGGUUAAACUACUCCGCUGUUUUGGUCCUGUAGCUACCACGUUGUAGCAGCGUGAAGCACGAGGUUAAACUACUCUGCUGUUUUGGUCCUGUAGCUACCACGUUGUAGAAGCGUGAGGUUAAACUACUCCGCUGUUUUGGUCCUGUAGCUACCACGUUGUAGCAGCGUGAAGCGCGAGGUUAAACUACUCCGCUGUUUUGGUCCAGUAGCUACCACGUUGUAGCAGCGUGAAGCGCGAGGUUAAACUACUCCGCUGUUUUGGUCCUGUAGCUACCACGUUGUAGAAGCGUGAGGUUAAACUACUCCGCUGUUUUGGUCCUGUAGUUACCACGUUGUAGCAGCGUGAAGCACGAGGUUAAACUACUCUGCUGUUUUGGUCCCGUAGCUACCACGUUGUAGCAGCGUGAAGUUAAACUACUCUGCUGUUUUGGUCCUGUAGCUACCAUGUUGUAGCAGCGUGAAGUUAAACUACUCUGCUGUUUUGGUCCUGUAGCUACCACGUUGUAGCAGCGUGAGGUUAAACUACUCUGCUGUCUUGGUCCCGUAGCUACCACGUUGUAGCAGCGUGAGGUUAAACUACUCUGCUGUCUUGGUCCCGUAGCUACCACGUUGUAGCAGCGUGAAGCGUGAGGUUAAACUACUCUGCUGUUUUGGUCCUGUAGCUACCACGUUGUAGCAGCGUGAGGUUAAACUACUCUGCUGUUUUGGUCCCGUAGCUACCACGUUGUAGCAGCGUGAAGCGCGAGGUUAAACUACUCCGCUGUUUUGGUCCCGUAGCUACCACGUUGUAGCAGCGCGAGGUUAAACUACUCUGCUGUUUUGGUCCCGUAGCUACCACGUUGUAGCAGCGUGAAGCACGAGGUUAAACUACUCUGCUGUUUUGGUCCCGUAGCUACCACGUUGUAGCAGCGUGAGGUUAAACUACUCUGCUGUUUUGGUCCAGUAGCUACCACGUUGUAGCAGCGUGAAGCACGAGGUUAAACUACUCUGCUGUUUUGGUCCCGUAGCUACCACGUUGUAGCAGCGUGAGGAUAAACUACUCCGCUGUUUUGGUCCUGUAGCUACCACGUUGUAGCAGCGUGAGGUUAAACUACUCUGCUGUUUUGGUCCAGUAGCUACCACGUUGUAGCAGCGUGAAGCGCGAGGUUAAACUACUCUGCUGUUUUGGUCCAGUAGCUACCACGUUGUAGCAGCGUGAAGCGCGAGGUUAAACUACUCUGCUGUUUUGGUCCAGUAGCUACCACGUUGUAGCAGCGUGAAGCGCGAGGUUAAACUACUCCGCUGUUUUGGUCCUGUAGCUACCACGUUGUAGCAGCGUGAAGCACACCCGUGCACAUGCUUUGUGUGAUUGUAUCUCACUUCAUCUUCGUUGCAACGUCAUCUCGAUGAGUCUACUUUUAAUUCCAUUGUAUCGUCAGCGGACGGUCUCCCAGUUGGGUCAGUACUCUGUCAGUACAUGUCUGUAUGGUGCUGUGUUUUAUGUUGGAAUAAUACUUCCAGGAGACUGGACCUUGACAGCGUACUGCAUCUAAGAACUAUCCCUUUGUGAUAUUACUGAAACUUAACCAACUGCCAUAUCUACUUAAAAGUUAUAUAUUUUACAAUUUCAACAGAGCAAAACAUUGUAUUUUCAGAUGUGUCAAAUAAAUUAACUUUUUUUUUUUACAACUUGUACUUCUCAGGUCAUUUAUCAUAUCCAGAGUGUGUAAAAAAAUUGACUUAAUUUGUUUCACAGAAGGGUACAUUUGUUUAUUUAAACAAAUCAUAUUUCAAAGGUGUAAAUGUCUCCCAUAUUAGUCAAUAGAAACAACCAUUUGGCUUAGUUCAUUAAAUGUCAGUAGUUACAGUGCCUUCAGGAAGCAUUCACAACCCUCAACUUUUCACACAUUUUGUUGUUACAGCAUGAAUUGUUUUUUUAUUUACAUUUAGAUUUUAUCACUGGCCAGCACAUAACACCCCAUCAUGUCAAAGUGGAAUUGUUUAUUUUUUGAAAUUAACUAAAAAUUAAAAGCUGAAAUGUCUAGAGUCAAUAAGAAUUCAACCCCUUUAUGGCAAGCCUACCAAGACAGUGGCCAAGUUACAAUUUUAACUUAAAUCUAUGGCAAUACCUGAAAACGGUGGUCUAGCAAUGAUUAACAACCCAUUUGACACAGCUUGAAGAAUUUAGAAAAUAAUGUGCAGAUGUUGCACUAUCCAGGUGUGGAAAGUGCUUAAGACUUACCCAGAAACACUCACACCUGUAAUCACUGUCAAAGGUGCUUCUACAAAAUAGUGACUUGGGUGUGAAAACUCAUGUAAAUUAUAUUAUAUAUAUAUAUAUAUUUCAUUUAAGUAAAUUUGAAAACGUGUUUUCACUUUUAUUAUGGGGUAUUUGUGUCUAGAUGGGUGAGGGGGAAAACAUCUAUAUAAUCCAGGCUAUAACAAACUGUUUUCACUUUUAUUAUGGGGUAUUUGUGUCUAGAUGGGUGAGGGGGAAAACAUCUAUAUAAUCCAGGCUAUAACAACACCUGUGGAAUAAGUCCAUGGGGAGAAAUACUUUCUGAAGACACUAUAACAAACAUAUAAAACAACAUGUAAAGUUUUGGUCCCAGGUUUCAUGAGCUGAAAUAAAAGAUCCCAGAAAUGUUCCAUGUGCACAAAACGUUUCUCAAAUGAUGUGCACAUUAGUUAACAUCCUCGUUAGUGAGCAUUUCUCCUUUUUGCCAAUUUAAUCCAUCCAUCUGACAGGAGUGGCAUAUCAAGAAGCUCAUUAAACAGCAUGAUCAUUAC
ensembl:lncRNA